GUGUGACUGCGUACCUUUUGUAUAAUGGGUCAGCGACUUAUAUUCUGUAGCAAGGUUAACCGAAUAGGGGAGCCGAAGGGAAACCGAGUCUUAACUGGGCGUUAAGUUGCAGGGUAUAGACCCGAAACCCGGUGAUCUAGCCAUGGGCAGGUUGAAGGUUGGGUAACACUAACUGGAGGACCGAACCGACUAAUGUUGAAAAAUUAGCGGAUGACUUGUGGCUGGGGGUGAAAGGCCAAUCAAACCGGGAGAUAGCUGGUUCUCCCCGAAAGCUAUUUAGGUAGCGCCUCGUGAAUUCAUCUCCGGGGGUAGAGCACUGUUUCGGCAAGGGGGUCAUCCCGACUUACCAACCCGAUGCAAACUGCGAAUACCGGAGAAUGUUAUCACGGGAGACACACGGCGGGUGCUAACGUCCGUCGUGAAGAGGGAAACAACCCAGACCGCCAGCUAAGGUCCCAAAGUCAUGGUUAAGUGGGAAACGAUGUGGGAAGGCCCAGACAGCCAGGAUGUUGGCUUAGAAGCAGCCAUCAUUUAAAGAAAGCGUAAUAGCUCACUGGUCGAGUCGGCCUGCGCNAGCCAUCAUUUAAAGAAAGCGUAAUAGCUCACUGGUCGAGUCGGCCUGCGCGGAAGAUGUAACGGGGCUAAACCAUGCACCGAAGCUGCGGCAGCGACGCUUAUGCGUUGUUGGGUAGGGGAGCGUUCUGUAAGCCUGUGAAGGUGUACUGUGAGGUAUGCUGGAGGUAUCAGAAGUGCGAAUGCUGACAUAAGUAACGAUAAAGCGGGUGAAAAGCCCGCUCGCCGGAAGACCAAGGGUUCCUGUCCAACGUUAAUCGGGGCAGGGUGAGUCGACCCCUAAGGCGAGGCCGAAAGGCGUAGUCGAUGGGAAACAGGUUAAUAUUCCUGUACUUGGUGUUACUGCGAAGGGGGGACGGAGAAGGCUAUGUUGGCCGGGCGACGGUUGUCCCGGUUUAAGCGUGUAGGCUGGUUUUCCAGGCAAAUCCGGAAAAUCAAGGCUGAGGCGUGAUGACGAGGCACUACGGUGCUGAAGCAACAAAUGCCCUGCUUCCAGGAAAAGCCUCUAAGCAUCAGGUAACAUCAAAUCGUACCCCAAACCGACACAGGUGGUCAGGUAGAGAAUACCAAGGCGCUUGAGAGAACUCGGGUGAAGGAACUAGGCAAAAUGGUGCCGUAACUUCGGGAGAAGGCACGCUGAUAUGUAGGUGAAGUCCCUCGCGGAUGGAGCUGAAAUCAGUCGAAGAUACCAGCUGGCUGCAACUGUUUAUUAAAAACACAGCACUGUGCAAACACGAAAGUGGACGUAUACGGUGUGACGCCUGCCCGGUGCCGGAAGGUUAAUUGAUGGGGUCAGCGCAAGCGAAGCUCUUGAUCGAAGCCCCGGUAAACGGCGGCCGUAACUAUAACGGUCCUAAGGUAGCGAAAUUCCUUGUCGGGUAAGUUCCGACCUGCACGAAUGGCGUAAUGAUGGCCAGGCUGUCUCCACCCGAGACUCAGUGAAAUUGAACUCGCUGUGAAGAUGCAGUGUACCCGCGGCAAGACGGAAAGACCCCGUGAACCUUUACUAUAGCUUGACACUGAACAUUGAGCCUUGAUGUGUAGGAUAGGUGGGAGGCUUUGAAGUGUGGACGCCAGUCUGCAUGGAGCCGACCUUGAAAUACCACCCUUUAAUGUUUGAUGUUCUAACGUUGACCCGUGAUCCGGGUUGCGGACAGUGUCUGGUGGGUAGUUUGACUGGGGCGGUCUCCUCCUAAAGAGUAACGGAGGAGCACGAAGGUUGGCUAAUCCUGGUCGGACAUCAGGAGGUUAGUGCAAUGGCAUAAGCCAGCUUGACUGCGAGCGUGACGGCGCGAGCAGGUGCGAAAGCAGGUCAUAGUGAUCCGGUGGUUCUGAAUGGAAGGGCCAUCGCUCAACGGAUAAAAGGUACUCCGGGGAUAACAGGCUGAUACCGCCCAAGAGUUCAUAUCGACGGCGGUGUUUGGCACCUCGAUGUCGGCUCAUCACAUCCUGGGGCUGAAGUAGGUCCCAAGGGUAUGGCUGUUCGCCAUUUAAAGUGGUACGCGAGCUGGGUUUAGAACGUCGUGAGACAGUUCGGUCCCUAUCUGCCGUGGGCGCUGGAGAACUGAGGGGGGCUGCUCCUAGUACGAGAGGACCGGAGUGGACGCAUCACUGGUGUUCGGGUUGUCAUGCCAAUGGCACUGCCCGGUAGCUAAAUGCGGAAGAGAUAAGUGCUGAAAGCAUCUAAGCACGAAACUUGCCCCGAGAUGAGUUCUCCCUGACUCCUUGA
rnacentral:rRNA from 1 species